rnacentral:rRNA from 1 species
UACGGAGGGGGCUAGCGUUGUUCGGAAUUACUGGGCGUAAAGCGCACGUAGGCGGCUUUGUAAGUUAGAGGUGAAAGCCCAGGGCUUAACCCUGGAAUUGCCUUUAAGACUGCAUCGCUAGAAUCGUGGAGAGGUGAGUGGAAUUCCGAGUGUAGAGGUGAAAUUCGUAGAUAUUCGGAAGAACACCAGUGGCGAAGGCGGCUCACUGG